GCCCGGUCACAUUCCGAACCCGGAAGCUAAGCCUGACAGCGCCGAUGGUACUGCACCGGGGACGGUGUGGGAGAGUAGGACACCGCCGGAC
rfam:Ornithinimicrobium sp. CNJ-824 NODE_7_length_160604_cov_93.0538_ID_13, whole genome shotgun sequence.